GGGGUGGUGGCGCAGUUGGCCAGCGCGCGGGUAUUCAGCACCUGAGGUCGAGAGUUCGAAUCUCUCCCACCCCA